CCUUUUUAGGGGCAAAAACACAUGCGCCCGAGCCAGGGAGCUCAGCUCUGCACCAGGCGCUCGCCCCGACCCCAUCUUCCUCCGCCGCCUCGCCGCACCGGCCGGCAUCACCGGAGAUCACCGCCACCGGGAACAGGUCACGUCGCCGCACCUGCCUUCUCCUUCUCCCUCUUCAUCCUCCCCUCCUCUCACCAUCUCUCUCUCCCUCCCAUUGCAGCGCCGCCAUGGCUGUCCCGAGCUUUGCCGGCAGCCGCGCCGCGUGAAUCCGGCCGGAUCUAGCCGCCCUUGCCCAGAUCCGCAUCCUCCGCUCCGCCGCGCCCCGGAUUCGGCCACUACCAAGCCUCCCAUCCGCCGGCCUUCCCCUGCUCGACUCGGGUGGACGGGCGAAGUUUCUGACUUGCCAUUAUAGUUGACCUGAAGCUCCGUUGUUUAGGACCAUUGCUGCUGCUGUAGGUUAGGGAGAAGGCUCGAGGCAGCCACGAAUUCCGUCCUGCACUACUUCAACACCGACCUAUUCUAGCAUGAAUCUUCUGCCGUGAGGAUUUGAUGCAGCAAGGGCCAUUUGUUUGACAGAAACAGAGUGGUUACCGCAAGAGAGGUACAAAUCAAGGACCGAGGAGGGACGAGGGCGGCUUUGAUCUAAGUUGGGUCACUUUCUAUGAAUAGAUGAUGUGAUUGCUUUGUUAUUUUGUUUAAUUAAUAGAAAAAUUGAUGAGGCAAUUGGAAGAAUCAAGCAGGAAUUUUACUACAUAUCUGCGCCAUUGAUUUGGUCAUCUCUGUCACUAGCAAGUUGCAUAAGAAAGAGUGUGGUGUUGUAGAGGCGUGUAUAGUUGUGAGUCCCUCGAUUAUAAAGCGGAUCCAGGUGAAAGAUGUAGGUGGUGUGCGGAUUGAACUCUAGAUCGGGAACCUACAGUACUAGAUGGACGAUAACUAUGCUUACAAUUGUUGACCGAACACUGUGAGGUAUGUGCCUGUCCCUCUUCCACCCAUAUCAACAUGUAAUUUUGUAAGAAGCUAAUUUAGUGUAGCAAGAACAUCAUAUUUUAGAUACGGUCUGCAGAUCGAUGUACUUUGUCCGUCUUUCCUUCACCAAAGCAUGCGUUGUGAGAUCAUGAUUACUACCAGGUAGUACAACAUUGCAAUUUAUUUUCCAGAAUGUUCCUUGAACACACUCCCAAGUUCCCAACCAUCAGUAAUUAUAGUCUCCUCAAUUCAGAUGCAUAAUUACAUAAUAUUGUUAUACAUGCUGCUUAAGUUGAUCACCAUUAUGCUGUUAAUUGGACCUCAAGAAUAGAGAUGACACCUUACCACAGGCAGCUCUUUAUUUUGUGCACGUUAACUCAAUUCUGAAAGUUGAUUCAAGUCUUUAGUGCUUGAAGUAGAUUCAUAGAAGCUACAAUUCUGUUAGUAUGUGAACAAAAAGCUUAUCUUAUAUGUGUGACCGGAGUUGCAGAAUAUGAAUAGGGGAAUGAUCAUAGAUGCCAACACCCACAGUAUGAUUUACCUUGAUAGAUGUGCAGUGGAUUCGUAAGUAGUUUUAGUGUUUUUUGUAGAUAGCUCAAGUACUUAAGCUUCUGCAAUCAUGAAAAACAAAACAAGGGACCAGUAGUCAGGUUCCAAUACACUGAUGCUUUCUCUGUUAAAAUCUUGACACACAUUAUGAAUCUCAAUAGCUUAAUCGAUUCUAAGCUCAUCAGAAGUAUUUGUUCAGAAUUUGGAUCAUCAGUCGCAUAUGCUUAUACCCGAACCCGCUAUAACUUGGUAUUCUUGUGCCAGAUUUUUGCCAUUCGGUAAUAGUUAUAAUUGCAUACUUCGAUCUGGGAGUAAUGGUUGUACCAGGAUGCGUCUCAUGUCUUACUUUGUGACAGCAGUUGGUCGCAUUUCAGUGACCGUCAAUUGAACCUUGAACAAGCAACUAAAUAGCAGGUCUUCUUUGGUUGGAAGCACCACAUCUCAUCUGUGUUGCUGCAAAAGCUUUUCAUUAUUGGACCAAGCUUAUGGGAUAUGCAUUGCAGUAAGUAUUAGUUACCAUGUUCAGUUCGUGUGACCGAUUUAAUUACUUCUCUUGUGUGGAGAAAAACUCUUUAGAUGCUUCUUUUGUUUGUGCGAAUAAAGCCGUCGAGUUACUUCAAAAAUGUCCUUUUCUCCUAGGAUGUAAGAUUAUGUUAUGUGGGCGGGCUGAUUGAUUUGCAGGUCAGUAAGGCUGUACAUUGUGUGGAGGGACUGAAUGUGUAUCCUGUUCAGUGCACAUCGACGAAACUGGAUUCAAAAAAGUAAAAUAUAGAGGCUGGAGAGUUCAGCGACCAGCUUGGUAGCACUUGUGUGGCAUCUAUCGUCGAGCAGCACCCUUACUGCGACGUCCUACCCGUGGUCCUUAUGGCACCGUUUACAUAGCAUAGACAUGGAUGUGGUCGGCCUCGGCAUGUUCUCCUUUUGUGGCCAAGGACCGUGAUAAUGCAGAGAAUUUUAGAAUUGGGUUGCAGGCAUGAUGCUCAAACCUGCUCUUUAGGGGCUUGCAAAAUGAUCUUUCCUGUUAUGUAACAAAACAUUCUCACGUAGUACCGUAGGUCAUGGAGGAGAAGAGCGUGUAUGAUCAUGAUGAGGCCGGGCAUAUGGCUGCCGCUGUGCGGGACCACAAGAUCGUCAGCGAGAUCCGUGACCAUAUGCGGCUCCUUUCGUGCGAGAGGAAUUCUCCGGCAGCUAUGAGGACGACCAGAACAUGUCUGCCUAGAAGCAGCAGAGAGAUGUAUUUGAGGAUUUUAUACUAUCUGUGUCUUUAACAGACUACUACUGAUCACAAACUAAAAAGGAAACGGAUUACUGGAUCGGAUGUGGAAGAGGAAAAGAAAUUGGAAUAAAAUCCAUACAACAACUCGACCAGCAAUGAAGUACCCAGCUUUCAGAGAUUGGACGCCCAGAUUAGUACACAGGGAAGUUGGACUACUUGAUCGUCUUGAAGGAGGAUGUCUACAUGUACUGAACCAGUAAAUCAUUCAUGGAUAUUUCUUUAUAAUGUCUGCACUAACUCAUUCGUCGUUAUUUAAAAUUUUGAUUAGUCUGAUGGCCCUUUA